GUGGGAAUGAUUCUUCUCGCCUCUUCCACCGAUAUGAUCAUGAUUUUUCUGGGCAUCGAAAUUGUCUCAAUCUGUCUGUACGU
rnacentral:rRNA from 1 species